AUUACUUUCAAAUUCCAUCUCACAUAUUGCCAUUUCAAAUCCUCCACUUGCCCUAAUUUUCUCUUUCAUACUCUAUUCCCUAUUUGAUGCUCGAUUUUCUCGAUCCUCCAUCUCCAUUGAAGCAGCUCGAUCCUCCAUCUCAAUUGAAGCAGCUUGAUUUUCUCUCUCCUCCAUUGAAGAGCUUGCCCGAUAUUUUCUCCAUCUCCAUUGAAGCAGCUCGAUUUUCUCGAUCCUCCAUCUCCAUUGAAGCAGCUCGAUUGUCGGCGUGUGAGCAUCCAUCAUUGAACCGGCUUGUGAGCUUUUAUCCUCCAUUGAAUUAGUUUCUGAGUCUGGAAUGAAUGUUUUAGGAUGUCUGAUUUGAAUAUACAAGAGUCACGUAAGCGCCCAAGGGAUGAUGAUGAUGAAAUGGACUUAGUUGUGAUGGUUUUAGGUUUUAUUAUGGUAGUAGUAGGAGCAUGGUAUGGUAAGAAAUAUAGAUUAAAGGAGAUAGCAUGGAAUGAAUCCGAGCGUUCUAGAACAAGAGCUACAUGGAUGAACACUUUGAGGAAUGAUAGGAUAUGUCGAGAGCAAUUACGUCUCGAUAUACGUUGUUUUGAGAAGCUAUGUCAUGUAUUACAAACUAAAGGUGGGCUAAAGACCACGAGAAAUGUCACGAUAAAAGAAAUUGUGGCUUUAUUUCUUCAUACCCUUGCGCAUGAUUUGAAAAAUAGAACAAUGCAAGCCCUCUUUGCACGAUCCGAGGAGACUAUUAGUCGUCAAUUUCAUGUAGUUCUUGCAUCCAUGCUCAAGUUAGGGAAAUAUUACAUCAAACAAGCCGAUCACACUACUAGUUAUGCUGAUGAUAAUAAAUGGAAGUGGUUCGAAGGUGUUAUAGGAGCUCUUGAUGGGACACAUAUUGAUAUGAUUGUGCCAAUUGAGGAUCGACCUCGCUAUCGAGAUAGGAAAAAGAACCUUAGCACUAAUGUACUAGCCACUUGUGAUCCUAACCUUCGAUUCACAUAUGUGCUACCUGGUUGGGAAGGAUCCGCAUCGGAUCCUCGUGUCCUUCGGGAUGCUCUUCGUAGGCCUAAUGGUCUUAAAGUGCCUAAAAAUAAGUAUCUUCUUGUUGAUUUAGGAUAUUCUAAUGCCGAAGGUUUCCUAGCUCCUUACAAAGGUACUAGAUACCAUUUAAACUUGUGGAGAGGAAACACUCCUACAAAUGAAAAGGAGCUUUUUAACUUGUGACACUCAUCUGCUCGAAAUACCAUUGAAAGGGCAUUUGGGUUGUUAAAGAAGCGUUGGAGCAUUUUAAGAAAUUCUAGCUUUUUUCCAAAAAAAAUUCAAGUAAGAAUUAUCAAUGCUUGCUUUAUCCUACAUAAUUUUCUAAGGGAAGAAAACAUGGAGGAAACGAGUCUUAUGCAAGAGAUGGACCAUGACUUGAUAAAUAUGGAAGCAAUAGAUGAGGAAGAGGUAGAAGAAGACUACAUUUUAUCCGCCCGAACAACAAAUGAGUGGAACAAAUUUAGAGAUGACCUUGCUAAGAAGAUGUUUCAAGAAUAUAUGGCACGAAGGGGUCAAGCUACAUGGGUUUUAGUUGUAAUGAGACAUUUGUGUAUUAUUUAUGGUUUGUCAUAAAACUAUUUAUUAUGUAAUGAGAAAUUUGUGUACUAUGUAUGGUUUGUCUUAAAACUAGUUUGCCUUUAUUCUUGUCAUAAAACGAGUUUGCCUUUCUUCUUGUCAUAAAACUAGUUUGCCUUUAUUCUUGUCAUAAAAUUUGUUUGCCUUUCUUCUUGUCAUUUUAGUUUUAGCAUUAGUACAAGUGUUGAUUUGAUUUUUUAUUUUUAUUUUCUUGUCUACAGGACCUCUGAACAUCAUACAUUAUGAGGAGAUCUGGGAAAGAGCCUAUGGCACCUUCACAAUCACAAAGAAUAAACUAUACAAGUUGGAAUACACAAAUGGAUGGUGUACUCACUAAAACAUUGUUUGAGCAGAUUAAUGAGGGAAAUAAAGGUGAUGGAGAAUUCAAAUCGCAAGCAUAUCAAGCUGCAGUGGAUAACGUGAGGAAACAAUUGGGCAUCUUAGUCACCAUGGAUCAAGUGAAGAAUCGGAUCAAGGUUUGGAAGAAACAUCAUUCGGUCAUCAAUGAUAUCACAACUUAUACAAAGUUUAAGUGGGAUGAUAAAAAGAAGAUGAUAGUGAUCCCCGUAGAAGACCUUCAAGCAUGGCAUGUAUAUUGUAUGGAAACGCCUGCAGUAUCUGCGUAUCAAAACAAAUGCAUCGAGAAUUGGGAUGACAUUUGUACCUUGUUUGCACCUGAUAGAGCAAUAGGAGAUGUGGCUGAGCAACAUGAAGAAGCUGCUGCAGCAAUGGAGAAUGAAAAUGAUAAUGCAAGUACAUCAGAAACGGCUUCCGGAGAUUCAAACAAAAGGUUAAAAAAGGAUCGUCUUGCAGAUGCUGUGAGUAGCUUUGCUGAAUCUUUCAAGGAAUACGUGAGUAAAUCAACAAGGCCAACUAGUCAAGAAAUCUACAAGGAAGUGUCUAGUGUACUUGGAAUAUCUCGACACCAAGCUUUGAGGGCGGUUAAGAGAUUCUUAAAUGGCACAUUGGAGGAAUUUGACAUGCUGAAAAAUUUACCCGAUGAUCAAAAAUUAUAUUGGAUCAUUUUGUGUAUUGAUGAGUAGUAGUGUUGUAAGUUAAGAGAUAAUUAGAGUUAAGUUGGAACUUAGGUAUUGAAAUUUAGAAUUUGGAAUUCCAUUGUUUCCCAAAUUAAACAACAACUAGAAUUUAAAAUUCUAGAAUUGAAAUUCUCUUGUUUCCCAAACAAGUAUUUGAAUUUGAAAUCCUAAAUUUGAAAUUAUCAUAUUUCCCAAA